AAUUGGGUCCUGCGCGGCAGAUGUCUGUGAACCCCGCCAGGUCCGUGAGGAAGCAACGGUAAAUGGACCUCUCUGGGCGUCGCAGGGUUGCCUGAUUGCG
rnacentral:SRP_RNA from 1 species